AAGUUAGGGGCGCCGCGCGCCCCCGCCGGCCUCUUCCCGCCGCCUCGACCCCACAGCCUACUCUCCGCGCCGCCGCCUCACUGGGCCCGGCCCGCGCGUCGCCCCGCAGCCGCCGCGGCCACCAACCCCGGCGCGUCCGCCAUCUUUGUUUUCCCUGCGCGCCCCCCCGCGCCACCGCCCCCUCGUCCUCCCCAUCACGUGGGCUCCAAGCGGGGCCAAUGGGACCGCCGCCUGGAGCUAGACGGCACGGCGCCCAGAGCCAAUGGGUGCACGAAGCGCGUGAGGCCCGCCUCCUGUGGAAGGUGGGCCUGAGGGGCGGGGCCAGGACGACCCGUGGAGGGGCGCGCACCUGAGGUGAGGAAGCCCGCCUAGGGGCGAAAGAACGGCCCCUACACGCGGCAAGUCAGCGGGGUCGGGGGUCUCCCUUCGCCAUCGUGUCCCAACACUCGGGGUUGAAUGUGGCCUGGCUUUCCCGAGUGGAAGGGCACCAACUUUAAAGAGCCCGGCCGACCACCCGUCGUGUAUGGCAUAGGAUAUGCUUCUGCUGGACUCAUCGGAACUGCCCGGGGGAGGGGGCACACUUGGGACCUCUAACCCCCUGCUCUGUUCAACCCGGUUUCCUAUCCCUGGGGUUGGAGGCCGAAGAAGGGUCCACAGAGGAAAGUGAAGGUCUUAGGGAAUAGGAUUUUGCUCGCACAGACUGGAAGGCAAACAGGGAAGGGAGAUGCAUUUCUGCGAAUCGCUGCGGUACAGCCAGCCCUCCCUUGCCCUUACUAACCCAGCCAUCAGCCCGUGAAGGUCACUGCCCCAGAGGGCCACCUGCCAGGCUGGGCAACAAUAUCCGGAAUCUACUAUGUCAAAGGAGAGCAAGGGCUCUGGGGCUAUAUAUUCAAGGCACAGCAGCCCCUCCUGACAAAUGUGCCAGAAGGAGGCCAGACUGAAGGAAGCCCAUGCAUGUUCCAGCACAUCCCCUCUCUUUGUUCAGGGAAAACAGCUGAUGCCCUGGAGGCUUCAGGAAGCUCACCAAAGGCUCCUCAGUCCCUCUCAAGAAUUGGCAAAUUUCAUAUUCCUGUAGAAUUCCUAAGGUUUAUUGGAGAUCAAGUCUCUGAACCCACAACUAUGUCUUUCCCAGAAGGAGGCCCCCAAAAUGCCUGGGACCCUGGCCCUUUCAUUCUGGUCUAGGCAAGUUCCUACAGUGACUGGAGAAGAGACAGCACCUAAGCUCCAUUCCUGAUCAGUCAACCUGCAGCAAGCCCACUGUAGGAGGAGGGAAAGCCUAUUCCUAGGGGAGGAAGCUCCAGGAGCAGGCUGGUGGAAAGGAAGGUGGUAGCCAAGGGAGAAGCUCAGCCUUGCUGUGUGCAACUGUCAUUCCCACUGCAGGCGCUGUGUGUGCAGGGCCCGGCAAUAGGCCCAACUGCCUGCAGCCAGGGCCCAGCGACAGACAUCCUCCUUCGGCAGCAGCAGCAGCCUCUCCUCCUCCAGUCGGCUCAGGAGGCCUGCUACACCUAGCAUGGCACCCCCCCACAUCCCAUAAGUGUUGGCUGUGAAAAUAGCCACAAUGAGGAUGGUCACUGCGACCACCAGCAGUACUGCCUGACCAGCCACAGAGCAGCCUUCAGGGCCAAGGUGAUCACCAGCCACUGCCAGCACCAUGCCUCCGCCCAGGAGUAGGUUAGCAGAGGAGCGGUCCCCGUUCACCCAGUGGAAGUCGAAAGCCAGAAGGGGCAGGCCGAUGACUGUGGUCACCCAGGCUCCAGCGAGACAAUCUUCAUGUGUGCCCAGCCCUGGGACCAGCAUGGAGGCAGCAGCCAAAGCCUGGAGCAGGAAACCAGCAGCAGCCCCUCGACUUGACUGUUAGUGAAGGAAACAAGAGGGUAGGUGACCCCUUUAAACAGGAAAAGGUUUGGACUUCUCAUGGAGACCUGGUCCCACCUUCGCCUCCCAUCACCCUCUCUCUGGUGCAGCAAACUAGGAUUUUAGCGUGUGGGAGUGGGGUUACUUACCUGCGCAGAACUCACCGCUCCAUGAAGAGACACCAUUCCCAGCACCAGGUGGGACAGGACUGUGCUCCACUCACUCCCGGGCUUGGGGGCCAUGGCACUUGGGCAGUAAUGAGUUUGAGGAGACAGGAAAGAGAGUUUUAACUUGGAGUGGAGUAACAGAAGUCAGGGACCUGGAGCCCUAACGGCAGCUCUGCGGGAACCCCAGGUUCCAGGGUCCCAUGACUAGAUGAUAGAAUAGGUACAGUUCUAAAUUUGCCAGAGUCCCAAGGCCACUGGAAACACCUGUGCUAAAAGACUAAUUAGACUGGAAACAGCGGGAACAAAACUCGGGAGCUGGGCAGGGCGAGCAUGAGCUCAAGUAGGUGCAGGACGCGGGGGAGACCGAGCGGCGGGGCACGCAGGCCCUUGUGGCGGCCUGGGCCUAUCCCAGCACUCAGGGAAGCGCCGUCCUCGACACCCGGCCCGGAAGGACCCACGGCGCAGAUCUGUGGGCCGCCAGCCGUUCGCAGUUCUUGACGGCGGCGAGCCAGAGGCCCUGGCAGGUCCACAGCGGUCGGCCCCGCCGCCUCGGGUGGCCUCCGGAGGCCCAGGCGAGCGCGGCCGAGCGCCGCCACCAGCGAGAGGAGUCGAGGCUAGAGAGGCCGGGGCGGGGCCUGAGGGGGUCGGUCGAAGGCUCUAGGAGGACUCGAAGGCGCGAGGUCGGCACCAGCAUCAGGAGCUCGGCCUGGGCUAGUUUGUGGGCGCUGGCAUUUGGAAGGAGCUCGCCUAGCGGAGGGAUCUAGGCG
rnacentral:lncRNA from 1 species